AUCUCAUUAUAUUUUGGACUUGGUGACAUGCUUACUAUAAGAUUCUCACAAUGAUCCAGAUCCAUACCAAACCUUUAAAUCAACAAAGAUAUUCAGUCAAACAUGUUAUGGUGUUCUUUCAACCAAGCUAACAAACACCAGUGAGCUUCAUUAGGCCUAAGAGUGACGACGACAGAUUUCCAUUUUUUUAGAUCCUAUAUAACUGCAUUAUCAAAGCAAAAAUACUCUAUAAGGUAAU
rnacentral:lncRNA from 1 species